rnacentral:rRNA from 1 species
UGGGGAAUAUUGCGCAAUGGGGGAAACCCUGACGCAGCAACGCCGCGUGAUCGAAGAAGGCCUUCGGGUUGUAAAGAUCUUUAAUCAGGGACGAAGAAAAUGACGGUACCUGAAGAAUAAGCUCCGGCUAACUACGUGCCAGCAGCCGCGGUAAUACGUAGGGAGCAAGCGUUAUCCGGAUUUACUGGGUGUAAAGGGCGCGCAGGCGGGCCGGCAAGUUGGAAGUGAAAUCUAUGGGCUUAACCCAUAAACUGCUUUCAAAACUGCUGGUCUUGAGUGAUGGAGAGGCAGGCGGAAUUCCGUGUGUAGCGGUGAAAUGCGUAGAUAUACGGAGGAACACCAGUGGCGAAGGCGGCCUGCUGGACAUUAACUGACGCUGAGGCGCGAAAGCGUGGGGAGCAAACAGG